rnacentral:rRNA from 1 species
GACGAACGCUGGCGGCGUGCUUAACACAUGCGAGUCGAACGGAAAGGCCUGCUUUCCCUUGUGGAUUGCGGGUACUCGAGUGGCGAACGGGUGAGUAACACGUGAGUGAUCUGCCCCCAACUUGGGUAUAAGCCUGGGAAACUGGGUCUAAUUCCCGAUAGGACUGCAGGGUGGUGCCUGUGGUGGAAAACGAUUUUCUAGUGGUUGGGGAUGAGCUCGCGGCCUAUCAGCUUGUUGGUGGGGUAAUGGCCUACCAAGGCGGCGACGGGUAGCCGGCCUGAGAAGGUGGACGGCCACAUUGGGACUGAGAUACGGCCCAGACUCCUACGGGAGGCAGCAGUGGGGAAUAUUGCACAAUGGGCGGAAGCCUGGUGCAGCGACGCCGCGUGGGGGAUGACGGCCUUCGGGUUGUAAACUCCUUUCGACCGCGAGGAAGCCACCUGGUUGGAAGGGUGGUGACGGUAGUGGUAGAAGAAGCACCGGCUAACUACGUG